rnacentral:rRNA from 1 species
UACGUAGGGUGCAAGCGUUGUCCGGAAUUAUUGGGCGUAAAGAGCUUGUAGGCGGUUUGUCGCGUCUGCUGUGAAAUUUCGGGGCUCAACCCCGAACUUGCAGUGGGUACGGGCAGACUAGAGUGUGGUAGGGGAGACUGGAAUUCCUGGUGUAGCGGUGAAAUGCGUAGAUAUCAGGAGGAACACUCAUGGCGAAGGCAGCUCUCUGGGUCGGCCCUGACGCUGAGGCGCGAAAGCGUGGGGAGCGAACGGG